rnacentral:rRNA from 1 species
CAGCCGCCGCGGUAAAACGGAGGAUGCGAGCGUUAUUCGGAAUCAUUGGGUUUAAAGGGUCUGUAGGCGGGCUAUUAAGUCAGGGGUGAAAGGUUUCAGCUUAACUGAGAAAUUGCCUUUGAUACUGGUAGUCUUGAAUAUCCGUGAAGUUCUUGGAAUGUGUAGUGUAGCGGUGAAAUGCUUAGAUAUUACACAGAACACCGAUUGCGAAGGCAGGGGACUAACAGACAAUUGACGCUGAGAGACGAAAGCGUGGGGAGCGAACAGGAUUAGAUACCCCUGUAGUCCCUGUCUCUUAUAC